rnacentral:rRNA from 1 species
GGCAUCUUCCGCGGUGGAAAGCUCCGGCGGUGAAGGAUGAGCCCGCGGCCUAUCAGCUUGUUGGUGGGGUAAUGGCCUACCAAGGCGACGACGGGUAGCCGGCCUGAGAGGGCGACCGGCCACACUGGGACUGAGACACGGCCCAGACUCCUACGGGAGGCAGCAGUGGGGAAUAUUGCACAAUGGGCGAAAGCCUGAUGCAGCGACGCCGCGUGAGGGAUGACGGCCUUCGGGUUGUAAACCUCUUUCAGCAGGGAAGAAGCGAAAGUGACGGUACCUGCAGAAGAAGCGCCGGCUAACUACGUGCCAGCAGCCGCGGUAAUACGUAGGGCGCAAGCGUUGUCCGGAAUUAUUGGGCGUAAAGAGCUCGUAGGCGGCCAGUCACGUCGGAUGUGAAAGCCCGAGGCUUAACCUCGGGUCUGCAUUCGAUACGGGCUGGCUAGAGUGUGGUAGGGGAGAUCGGAAUUCCUGGUGUAGCGGUGAAAUGCGCAGAUAUCAGGAGGAACACCGGUGGCGAAGGCGGAUCUCUGGGCCAUUACUGACGCUGAGGAGCGAAAGCGUGGGGAGCGAACAGGAUUAGAUACCCUGGUAG